rnacentral:rRNA from 1 species
GAUGAACGCUGGCGGCGUGCCUAAUACAUGCAAGUCGAGCGGACGGACGAGAAGCUUGCUUCUCUGAUGUUAGCGGCGGACGGGUGAGUAACACGUGGAUCACCUACCUAUAAGACUGGGAUAACUUCGGGAAACCGGAGCUAAUACCGGAUAAUAUUUUGAACCGCAUGGUUCAAAAGUGAAAGACGGUCUUGCUGUCACUUCUAGAUGGAUCCGCGCUGCAUUAGCUAGUUGGUAAGGUAACGGGUUACCAAGGCAACGAUGCCUAGCCGACCUGAGAGGGUGAUCGGCCACACUGGAACUGAGACACGGACCAGACGCCUACGGGAGGCAGCAGUAGGGAAUCUUACGCAAUGGGCGAGAGCCUGACGGAGCAAGGCCGCGUGAGUGAUGAAGGUCUUCGGAUCGUAAAACUCUGUUAUGAGUGAAGAACAGAUGUGGAAGUAACUGUGCACAUCGUGACGGUACCUAAUCAGAAAGCCACGGCUAACUACGUG